UUGCUCCACACACCACACGUCAGGAGGAAGACAUCUCAUCGCUAUAACGUUACAAUGCAAAAUAACUUUAGCAGUUUGAUCAUCGGCAUGGUCUGUUCGGAUCAAAUGUCUUUUGGAGGACACCUGUGUGAGCCAGAUGGAGGCUGAUGACUCUGUGGCAGUCUGCCAGUCAUUACUUUGCUGUUGCAACACUACAAUCUGCCACGGCAGUGUAAUUUCUUGAGAAAAUGGGUCCGAGAGAGGAGCUCCAACAAGAGGACAGCUGCCGCAUGCAUCGAGUCGCGUGUGAAAUGUACUUGAGGUGUUUUCUUUGUAGAGACGCAUGCUUGGGUCUCACUGUUUGGCUGAUCGAGCCUGUAGCUCGGUCGUGAGCUGCAUCUUUGACAGCCUGGGCUCUCUGCUGUGAGACGUCCUGGGUUUUUAAUAUUUCAGAUGCAAUAUUAAAUGUCCCUGCGCUUUCUGCUCGCCGCUUUCCCAUGGCGUCUCGGAUUGAAUGUGGGAGGAUAAUUCCAAAAUAUAUCUGUUUGUAAUAUAGACUUAAAAUAAUGAGCUGGAUGUAAUAUUGUAGUUUUUUUUUUUUUUUUUUUUUUCCUUUUUCCAGUCCAUGUGGCUUCGGGAGAUGAAGUCAGAGAAGCUGUAACCGACUCGUGAGUAUGCUGGGUCUGAACUGAUACUUUGCAGGAAAAACGGCAAACACCUGACUGAGAUCUGAUCGGUGGAACGAUUGUGCCCCCGAUGCCGAACAAACACUGCAAUGCACUUAAAUGUUUGUCCUAAUUUUCUGAAGUCUGGCAGCAGCAUUAAUCUUGAUCUUAACAGUAUGAAUCAGGAGAUGCAAUGUGAAAAAAUGCCACCAUUUUUGUCUGUUUAUUAAAGACUUUUUUUUUUUUACCCUUGAAUGCCGACGUCUUUACUGAAAACUGAAUUUGUUGUUUGAAGUUAGCCGUUGCAUUUGAAGUUAAUGUUCUAAUAACUUCUUUGCCAUUUUGAUUUUAAGUCUUAUGUGCACCAUCUUAUGCUGCAUUGCUGGCCAGGACUCUGCUGAAAAAGAUUUUGAAUGGGAAUACAUUACAUUAGUCAUUUAGCAGACGCUUUUAUCCAAAGCUACUUACAAUAAGUGUAUUCAACAUUGGUUUUCGCGAGAACUACUGGUCACCAGAAGUCAUAAGUGCAUCUCCUUUCCUCAAACAAGCAUCUAAGAGCAUAAACCAGAGCCA